rnacentral:rRNA from 1 species
UACGUAGGGUGCAAGCGUUGUCCGGAAUUAUUGGGCGUAAAGAGCUUGUAGGCGGUUUGUCGCGUCUGCUGUGAAAUUUCGGGGCUCAACCCCGAACUUGCAGUGGGUACGGGCAGGCUAGAGUGUGGUAGGGGAGACUGGAAUUCCUGGUGUAGCGGUGAAAUGCGCAGAUAUCAGGAGGAACACCGGUGGCGAAGGCGGGUCUCUGGGCCGAUACUGACGCUGAGGAGCGAAAGCGUGGGGAGCGAACAGG